AUUUUACAAGAUAUUUCAUUUAUUCAUCCAAUAAGCACUUACUGUUGACUGUUUACUGUUUUAGGCUAAGAGGAUUGAGCAGUGAAAAUGACAAUACCCCUUCUUACUUGGAGGUGGGCGAUUUUAGUUUGGGGUGUCUGGAAAGGUCUCUCAGAAGAGGAGACAUUUGAAAAAAUCUUAGUAUUGAAUAUGUAUGUAAGAUAGAACCCACAUAGGUGGACAGUGUGAAGGUUCAAAAAUAAGUGAAACAUGGUCCCUUGUCCUCAAGGUACUUCCAGUUCAGUACUAAAGAUAAAAUAUCCAUGUAAAUCAAUUCUUCAUUCAGACAGAUGUGCUAAGCUGGAAUCACAGAGGUUCAAACAAAAUCCUAUGGGAAUUUUUCCUGCUCUGUUCUUCAUCCAAAUUCCCAACUCUUCUUUUAUCCACUUUUUGGGAACAAAUCUUGAAGAUAACUCUAUCACAGUAACUCUUUAAAACAUUUGUUUGCUGUAUCAUAGUAACAGCUGUAGUAGAUGCAUUACGAGUCAUUAUCCCAGCUCUUUGAAUAUAGUAAAUAUCACAGAAUUAUUUGGCAUCCUGAAGACCAUCACCUUUGUCUGACUUGCUUCUCUGCUUUCCUCCUUGUGUGUAAACAGAAAGCAGUGAAAUGGACAUACAGGACUAGCGAUGUCUGGGUAGUUUGGGUAGUUCAUGUUUAUGGAAUGCUAAAGGACAGGUUUAAGGUUAAUCUGGAGGCGUAGGAUCCCAUAGCAAUACCUGGAUUUGCGCCAUCAGGCACUUCUUGCUUCGGAAAAGACACUUUUUUCAUCAUUCACUUUUUGUUUCUCUCCACAGAGCUUUUCAUCCCAUACCUUGAUAGCUCCGGGCUAAUGGAAUCUUGUGACUUUCGGUUCUCAUUGAUAAGAGGUCCUGAUGUAGACAUUGAUGAGUGGGACAUUCUCUGUUCGGAUACACAUCUUACAGCUUGCUCCAUAGAACAUAUUUUCAGGAGGAGGUCAAAACUACCACAUUUCUGGCUGUAGCUCUUCAAGGACAAGCACUUGUUAUCUCAUAGUUUCUGUGGUUCAGGAACCUGGAUGGGCUUAGCUGGGUGCCUCUGGCUCAGGAUCUUGGCCCUAGAAUCUUGAGGUAUCCACCAGGGCUGCAGUCUUAUCAAGGCUCUACUUCAGGAAGAUCCAUAUGAGCUCAUCCUCAUGGCUGUUGGCAGGCCUCUGGCCCUCACUUGUCAUUGGUUGGAGACUUCGCUUCUUUGCCAUUUGAGCCUCUCCACAGGACAGCUCACAGCAUGGCAGCUGGCUUCUCUCAGAGUAAAUGAACCAGUGAGAGACAGUGAGAAAGAGCACCCGAGA
rnacentral:lncRNA from 1 species